CCCGCUCCUCCCGCCAUGCACUCAUAACCGACAACUCUGCCUCGGAAACAACGGCGAGGCACCGUUCGAAAUGCGUUCCCUGAAAGAUGGCAAACCAACGCGGAGACUAACAAUAUUCCGACUAGCCAGGUCACCAUGCUACAAUGUGUCGAACAUUGUGCGCGCCCCACUGGAUGACAGUGACAAUCCAGACUUCUUUGACUUCGUGAUUUCAUAUGUUGAAUGUGGCCGGUGCGUCGUCACGAUGUUACCUACAAUUAGC